AUGCUUGAUCUCAAUGAGUUGCCUUUUGAUCUCAAUGAGCUUCCUCAUGAUAUGGAUCAGCAGCAACCCAGCAUACCACAAGGAAAUUUGACAGAAAAUGGGCGAUCUGUUUACGACACGCAGACAAGUCAUGGUGCUAACCCUAUGGGCCAUGACAAUGUGGCAGGACAAUCAUCAACCCGUGGUGCCCCUGUAGUGGUGUCUUUGCAGUCAGAGAGCCAUACUCUUGAUGACAUGGGAAUCGCGGCAAAUGUUCCUGGUCCAACCAGGACUGAGCUAGGAGCUGGGGCUGUUGAUGGUGUUGUGCAAGGAGAAGAAGGAGAGGAUGAGGCUGGUUCUCAACCUAUGGAACCCUAUGCUGGCAUGAGGUUUGACAGCCUUCAAAUUGCUAAGGAUCACUACAACAGCUACGUCCUACGGAUGGGUUUCUCUGUCAAGAUGAACACCUCUAGGCGGACACCUCACACCAAUGCAUUGGUAAAACAGCAGUUUUGCUGCAACAAGUUCAAGAAGUCCAAAGCUGAUGAUGGAGAAGAUGAGGCUCCUCCUGUCCUGGACCAUAUUCCAGAUCCAAAACAUGUUGAUAGUGAUGAGAAAAUGGAAGAUGAACCUCCAAUCUUUGCUGAAGAGGAGGCUGGUCCUAGUAAGAAAAAGAAGAACCGGAAACGCGAGACAAUAAAACAGACUCAAUGCAAGGCAAAAAUGUUGGUGAAGCUGAUAGAUGGGUGA
rnacentral:rRNA from 1 species